rnacentral:rRNA from 1 species
GAUGAACGCUGGCGGCGUGCCUAAUACAUGCAAGUCGAGCGAACAGACGAGGAGCUUGCUCCUCUGACGUUAGCGGCGGACGGGUGAGUAACACGUGGAUAACCUACCUAUAAGACUGGGAUAACUUCGGGAAACCGGAGCUAAUACCGGAUAAUAUAUUGAACCGCAUGGUUCAAUAGUGAAAGACGGUUUUGCUGUCACUUAUAGAUGGAUCCGCGCCGCAUUAGCUAGUUGGUAAGGUAACGGCUUACCAAGGCGACGAUGCGUAGCCGACCUGAGAGGGUGAUCGGCCACACUGGAACUGAGACACGGUCCAGACUCCGACGGGAGGCAGCAGUAGGGAAUCUUCCGCAAUGGGCGAAAGCCUGACGGAGCAACGCCGCGUGAGUGAUGAAGGUCUUCGGAUCGUAAAACUCUGUUAUUAGGGAAGAACAAAUGUGUAAGUAACUAUGCACGUCUUGACGGUACCUAAGCAGAAAGCCACGGCUAACUACGU